AUUGAACGCUCGCGGGAUGCUUUACACAUGCAAGUCGAACGGCAGCGCGGACUUCGGUCUGGCGGCGAGUGGCGAACGGGUGAGUAAUGUAUCGGAACGUGCCCAGUAGCGGGGGAUAACUACGCGAAAGCGUAGCUAAUACCGCAUACGCCCUACGGGGGAAAGCAGGGGAUCGUAAGACCUUGCACUAUUGGAGCGGCCGAUAUCGGAUUAGCUAGUUGGUGAGGUAACGGCUCACCAAGGCGACGAUCCGUAGCUGGUUUGAGAGGACGACCAGCCACACUGGGACUGAGACACGGCCCAGACUCCUACGGGAGGCAGCAGUGGGGAAUUUUGGACAAUGGGGGCAAGCCUGAUCCAGCCAUCCCGCGUGUGCGAUGAAGGCCUUCGGGUUGUAAAGCACUUUUGGCAGGAAAGAAACGUCGCGGGCUAAUACCCCGUGGAACUGACGGUACCUGCAGAAUAAGCACCGGCUAACUACGUG
rnacentral:rRNA from 1 species